ACGACCUUACUUGAACAGGAUCUGUUCUAUAGGUUGUACAACUGUAUCCUUGAGUUCUAAGGAGACAAGAACCUUAGUCUGGUGGAUGAACCACUGCCCUGCGACUAGAGCGUGAUUAACGGCUCAACGGAUUUCGGUCCUGGCGGCUGUAGAGGAUCGUUCUUGGCCGCCUCGUUCGGCUGGGGAUGGUCGCAUGGCGGUCUGACAGACU